AUGACUAUCCUAAGUUGGAACUGCCGGGGGCUUGGGCAACCCUGGACAGUUCAGGAGCUUGUAUGACUAGUGCAUACAUACAAGCCUAAGUUGGUAUUCCUCUCCGAAAAUCGGCAAAGCAACUCGUAUGUUAAUGCUAAGUGGAGGAUCGGCCUCAAACAUUGUAUCGCAACCGGUACUGGAAAAAGUGCCGGUCUUGCGCUCUUCUUUGAUGAAAGUGUAGAUGUAAUAAAGCUUGUCGUUGGCUCGAGAUACAUCGAUGUGUUAAUCAGGCUAACUACAAAUGGUUUGCAAUGGCGGGGUACUUUUGUGUACGGUGAGCCAAAAGCACAUGAAAGAUAUCACAUGUGGGACUUGUUGAGAAGGAUUAAAAACAACUCGGGGGCUCCUUGGUUGAUGAUGGGCGACUUCAAUGAGACAAUGUGGCAGUCUGGACAUUUAUCUGCUUCUAGGAGAUCUGAGAGGUACAUGGAGAACUUUAGGAACGUCCUCUCAUAA
rnacentral:rRNA from 1 species